rnacentral:misc_RNA from 1 species
GUUCCGUAGGUGAACCUGCGGAAGGAUCAUUAGUGAAUCUGAAAUUAGAUCGCAUCCUUUUGUGAAGCCAAUGAUAUUUUGAUGGAUGGGGAUUGAACAUGUUGAUUCUUGCGCGAGUCGACGGCCCCAAAGAUCACCCAUCUUUUUUUAAACCCAAAUUCUUAAUUUAUCUGACUGAUUAUUUAUAUAUCAAUAAUAUUGAAAAAAAUAACUUUCAACAACGGGUCUCUUGGUUCUCACAUCGAUGAAGAACGCAGC